UACGAAGGGGGCUAGCGUUGCUCGGAAUCACUGGGCGUAAAGGGUGCGUAGGCGGGUCUUUAAGUCAGGGGUGAAAUCCUGGAGCUCAACUCCAGAACUGCCUUUGAUACUGAAGAUCUUGAGUUCGGGAGAGGUGAGUGGAACUGCGAGUGUAGAGGUGAAAUUCGUAGAUAUUCGCAAGAACACCUGCGGCGAAGGCGGGUUGCUGGGCUGACACUGACGCUGAUGCGCGAAAGCCAGGGGAGCGAACGGG
rnacentral:rRNA from 1 species